rnacentral:rRNA from 1 species
UUCUGACACGGGGUGCAGCAGGCGCGAAACCUUUACAAUGCACGAAAGUGUGAUAAGGGGAUCCCAAGUGCCUUGCUUUUAGCAAGGCUUUUGCCAUAUCUAAACCGUAUGGCGAAUAAGUGGUGGGCAAUACCUGUGCCAGCCGCCGCGGUAACCCAGGAGCCACAAGUGGCAACCGCUUUUAUUGGGCCUAAAGCGUCCGUAGCCGGCCUAGUAAAUUUCCUGUGAAAUCGUUGGGCUUAACCUAACGUCGUGCAGGAAAGACUACUGGGCUAGGGACCGGGAGGCGUCAGAGGUAUUCCUGAGGGAGCGGUAAAAUGCUAUAAUCUCAGGAGGACCCCCUGUGGCGAAGGCGUCUGACGAGAACGGAUCCGACGGUGAGGGACGAAAGCUAGGGGAGCAAACCGGAUUAGAUACCCGAGUAGUCCUAGCCGUAAACGCUGCGAGCUAGGUGUUGCACAUUCUUCGGGAAUGUGCAGUGUCGAAGCGAAGGUGUUAAGCUCGCCGCCUGGGAAGUAUGGUCGCAAGGCUGAAACUUAAAGGAAUUGGCGGGGGAGCACUUGU